GAUUAGCCUGCGUCCGAUUAGCUAGUUGGUGGGGUAAGGGCCUACCAAGGCGACGAUCGGUAGCUGGUCUGAGAGGAUGACCAGCCACACUGGAACUGAGACACGGUCCAGACUCCUACGGGAGGCAGCAGUGGGGAAUAUUGGACAAUGGGGGCAACCCUGAUCCAGCAAUGCCGCGUGUGUGAAGAAGGCCUGAGGGUUGUAAAGCACUUUCAGUGGGGAGGAGGGUUGAUAGGUUAAGAGCUGAUUAACUGGACGUUACCCACAGAAGAAGCACCGGCUAACUCCGUGCCAGCAGCCGCGGUAAUACGGAGGGUGCGAGCGUUAAUCGGAAUUACUGGGCGUAAAGGGUGCGUAGGUGGUUGAUUAAGUUAUCUGUGAAAUUCCUGGGCUUAACCUGGGACGGUCAGAUAAUACUGGUUGACUCGAGUAUGGGAGAGGGUAGUGGAAUUUCCGGUGUAGCGGUGAAAUGCGUAGAGAUCGGAAGGAACACCAGUGGCGAAGGCGGCUACCUGGCCUAAUAUUGACACUGAGGCACGAAAGCGUGGGGAGCAAACAGGAUUAGAUACCCUGGUAGUCCACGCUGUAAACGAUGUCAACUAGCUGUUGG
rnacentral:rRNA from 1 species